rnacentral:rRNA from 1 species
UCCGGCGGCGGGGGGCCGAGUCCCCCCGGCCGCCCAACAAACCCCCGGCGCGGGACGCGCCAAGGAUGACCCCAACGAGACGGCACGCCCCCGGAGCCCGUUCGCGGGCGGCGCGGGGCGACGGCCUCUUUCGCGAAUCUAAACGACUCUCGGCAACGGAUAUCUCGGCUCUCGCAUCGAUGAAGAACGUAGCGAAAUGCGAUACUUGGUGUGAAUUGCAGAAUCCCGCGAACCAUCGAGUCUUUGAACGCAAGUUGCGCCCGAAGCCUUCGGCCGAGGGCACGUCUGCCUGGGCGUCUCGCAACGCGUCGCCCCCCCGACACCCGCGCGCGGGUCGUGGUGGGGCGGACACUGGCCCCCCGCGAGCGUCGGCUCGCGGUCGGCCUAAAAACCGAGUCGCCGGCGAGGGACGGCACGACGAGCGGUGGAGCACGACGCGCGCCCGCGACAGGGCGAGCCCUUUGUCGUGCCGUGCCCGUCGCCGCGGCGCGACCCCGAAAUAUCGACCGCGACCCCAGGUCAGGCGGGAUCACCCGCUGAAUUUAAGCAUA